UACGAAGGGGGCUAGCGUUGCUCGGAAUCACUGGGCGUAAAGGGUGCGUAGGCGGGUCUUUAAGUCAGGGGUGAAAUCCUGGAGCUCAACUCCAGAACUGCCUUUGAUACUGAAGAUCUUGAGUUCGGGAGAGGUGAGUGGAACUGCGAGUGUAGAGGUGAAAUUCGUAGAUAUUCGCAAGAACACCAGUGGCGAAGGCG
rnacentral:rRNA from 1 species